rnacentral:tRNA from 1 species
GGUCCCGUAGCUCAGUUGGUAGAGCGUCGGUCUUAUGAGCCGAAGGUCAGGAGUUCAAUCCUCCUCGGGACCA